AGAGUUUGAUCCUGGCUCAGGAUGAACGCUGGCGGCGUGCUUAACACAUGCAAGUCGAACGAUGAUGGGAGCUUGCUCCUGGAUUAGUGGCGAACGGGUGAGUAACACGUGAGUAACCUGCCCUUAACUCUGGGAUAAGCCUGGGAAACUGGGUCUAAUACCGGAUAUGACUCCUCAUCGCAUGGUGGGGGGUGGAAAGCUUUUUUGUGGUUUUGGAUGGACUCGCGGCCUAUCAGCUUGUUGGUGAGGUAAUGGCUUACCAAGGCGACGACGGGUAGCCGGCCUGAGAGGAUGAUCAGCCACACUGGAACUGAAACACGGUCCAGACUCCUACGGGAGGCAGCAGUGAGGAAUUUUGCGCAAUGGGGGAAACCCUGACGCAGCAACGCCGCGUGAGUGAAGAAGGCUUUCGGGUCGUAAAGCUCUGUCAAGAGGGAAGAAAGUGGAAGGUGGUAAUACUGUUUUCUAUUGACGGUACCUCUGAAGGAAGCACCGGCUAACUCCGUGCCAGCAGCCGCGGUAAUACGGGGGGUGCAAGCGUUAUUCGGAUUUAUUGGGCGUAAAGAGCGCGUAGGCGGUUUAUCAAGUCAGAUGUGAAAGCCCUGGGCUCAACCUGGGAAGUGCAUUUGAAACUAGUAGACUUGAGUAUGGGAGAGGGGAGUGGAAUUCCUGGUGUAGAGGUGAAAUUCGUAGAUAUCGGGAGGAAUACCGGUGGCGAAGGCGACACUCUGGACAGAUACUGACGCUGAGGCGCGAAAGCGUGGGGAGCAAACAGGAUUAGAUACCCUGGUAGUCC
rnacentral:rRNA from 1 species